rnacentral:rRNA from 1 species
UACGUAGGGUGCAAGCGUUAAUCGGAAUUACUGGGCGUAAAGGGCGCGUAGGCGGUUUGUACAGUCAGGUGUGAAAUUCCAGGGCUCAACCUUGGGGCUGCGUUCGAGACGGGUGUUCUAGAGUUUGGAAGAGGGUCGUGGAAUUCCCAGUGUAGAGGUGAAAUUCGUAGAUAUUGGGAAGAACACCGGUGGCGAAGGCGGCGACCUGGUCCUUGACUGACGCUGAGGCGCGAAAGCGUGGGGAGCAAACAGG